rnacentral:rRNA from 1 species
AGCAGUAGCCGCGGUAAUACGGAGGGUGCAAGCGUUAAUCGGAAUUACUGGGCGUAAAGCGCACGCAGGCGGUCUGACAAGUCAGAUGUGAAAUCCCCGGGCUUAACCUGGGAACUGCAUUUGAAACUGUCAGGCUGGAGUCUUGUAGAGGGGGGUGGAAUUCCAGGUGUAGCGGUGAAAUGGGUAGAGAUCUGGAGGAAUACCGGUGGCGAAGGCGGCCCCCUGGACAAAGACUGACGCUCAGGUGCGAAAGCGUGGGGAGCAAACAGGAUUAGAUACCCCUGUAGUCCCUGUCUCUUAUAC